rnacentral:rRNA from 1 species
AGUCGAGCGGGCGUAGCAAUACGUCAGCGGCAGACGGGUGAGUAACGCGUGGGAACGUACCUUUUGGUUCGGAACAACCCAGGGAAACUUGGGCUAAUACCGGAUAAGCCCUAACGGGGAAAGAUUUAUCGCCGAAAGAUCGGCCCGCGUCUGAUUAGCUAGUUGGUGAGGUAACGGCUCACCAAGGCGACGAUCAGUAGCUGGUCUGAGAGGAUGAUCAGCCACAUUGGACUGAGACACGGCCCAAACUCCUACGGGAGGCAGCAGUGGGGAAUAUUGGACAAUGGGCGCAAGCCUGAUCCAGCCAUGCCGCGUGAGUGAUGAAGGCCCUAGGGUUGUAAAGCUCUUUUGUGCGGGAAGAUAAUGACGGUACCGCAAGAAUAAGCCCCGGCUAACUUCGUGCCAGCAGCCGCGGUAAUACGAAGGGGGCUAGCGU